rnacentral:rRNA from 1 species
AGGCGAUGCUCGGAGUACUGGGCGUAAGGGUGUGUAGGCGGUUCUUUAAGUUUGUUGUGAAAUCUCCCGGCUCAACCGGGUGGGUGCGGCGAAUACUGAGGGACUCGAGUGCGGGAGAGGAAAGUGGAAUUCCUGGUGUAGCGGUGAAAUGCGUAGAUAUCAGGAGGAACACCGGUGGUGUAGACGGCUUUCUGGACCGUAACUGACGCUGAGACACGAAAGCGUGGGUAGCAAACAGGAUUAGAUACCCUGGUAGUCCACGCCCUAAACGAUGCAUAUUUGGUGUGGGUCAUUCAGUUGAUCCGUGCCGGAGCUAACGCGUUAAAUAUGCCGCCUGGGGAGUACAGUCGCAAGGCUGAAACUCAAAGGAAUUGACGGGGGCCCGCACAAGCGGUGGAGCAUGUGGUUCAAUUCGACGCAACGCGAAGAACCUUACCUGGGCUCGAACGGCCGGUUAACGACUGCGGAAACGCGGUUAUCCCGCAAGGGAGUCCGGUCGAGGUGCUGCAUGGCUGUCGUCAGCUCGUGUCGUGAGAUGUUGGGUUAAGUCCCGCAACGAGCGCAACCCUUGUCCUGUGUUGCCAUGGGAGCGAUCCCGGAACUCGCAGGAGACCGCCAGCGAUAAGUUGGAGGAAGGUGGGGAUGACGUCAAGUCCUCAUGGCCUUUAUGUCCAGGGCUACACACGUGCUACAAUGGGCGGUACAAAGCGCAGCAAACCCGCGAGGGGGAGCCAAUCGCAAAAAACCGUUCUCAGUUCGGAUUGCAGGCUGCAACUCGCCUGCAUGAAGCUGGAAUCGCUAGUAAUGGCAGAUCAGCACGCUGCCGUGAAUACGUUCCCGGGCCUUGUACACACCGCCCGUCACAUCACGAAAGUGAAUUGUACUAGAAGCCUGCAGGCCGACCCGCAAGGGGGGCAGCGGUCCAAGGUAUGAUUCAUGAUUGGGGUGAAGUCGUAACAAGGUAACC